AGGCUGCAUUUUCGCAGGUUUGGGGGAUUCCGGGGCCCGCUCCGCUUCCGGCCUGCGGAGGAAGCGCGCCGCGCGCCCCGGGCUGACACCAACAGGAAAAGUGACCAAGUAGGGAGGCGAGCGGCCGGCGGGCCCGGGGCUCCGCGCUCCCGCCGCAGCCGGCCUUGCAGCCUCGAGCCCGGGCCCCCGAGGCAGCGCAGGGCAGCGCAGGGCAGCGCAGGGCAGGGCCGGCUGACCGGGGGCCCCUCCCGCCCCCGGCCCCACGCCGACCCGGGAGGCGCCCUGGCGGCGGCGGCGGCGGCGGCCUCGGGCCCUCCGGGGGGCGGCGGCGGCGGCGGCGGGGGCGGCUGCACGUGGGGCUGCACUGGAGGGAGGCGGAGGCGCUCGCGCGGGGGAGGGGGCUCAGGCUUUUUUACGAUCAUCAUCAUCUCGUUUUACCUGUGGCGCAGCAGGGCUCCCCAGCUCCUAUUCCCUGAAUCCUCCUCCUCCUCCUCCUCCCCUCCUCAUCUUUCUCUCUCUCUCCCUCAGUCUCUGCCGGGCGCUCGCGGAACCGGCCGGGCCCGGCCCGACCAGACAGAGAACAGGGCGGGCGGGGGCGGCGGCGGCGGCGGUGACCAGCGAGCACGUGACCACGCCCGCGCCGUCACGGCGGCCGCCUCCUGCCGCGCGCCCUCCCCGCGCCCCACCUCUCAUAACCCCGCGGCUCCGGCGCCCGGGACGCUCGUGCGCAGGCGCCCGCCCGCCCGCAGGUCCGCAGGUCCGCAGGUCCGCCCGGCCGGGAGGGGCGCGGGCGCGGGCGCGCGACGCGCUCGCUCCCGGGGCUCAGCCUGUGGGGACACGCGGGGCGCGACGCGGGGAGCGAGCCGCAGGCCAAACCCCCUGCCGAGCCGGCCCGCUGCCACGGCGCAUGCGCGACAGGGCUCUCCCCGCCCCCCUCCCUCCCUCCGCAAACUUUCUCCUCGUCCUCCUGCGCCCCGUGGGCGUGCAGCUGCAGCUUCGGGAGCCUGCCUCCGGGACUCCGGCCCUCCCACCCACCACCACCCUCCCGGGGUGGGACCGGGAGCUGUCAGCCUCUGGGAAACUAAGAGGCUGGUCCGCCUGCCUCAGGAUUUACACUAUCUUCUUGCCUGUCAGUGGCCUUCCCUCCGACAGUUUCCUACUGCCCAGUAG
rnacentral:lncRNA from 12 species